rnacentral:lncRNA from 1 species
UUUUGAUUAUCCGACCUACCGCAAUCCUCUCUCUUCUCUCCAUCGAGUUAACGUUGAAGAACGACUCCUCCCCACUCCUGCUACGAUACUCCCACUCCUUACUGUUUCUCGUUUACGUUUCCCCUCUCUUCUCCCUCUUCAUCACUCCCACUCUUCUAUGCGAGCCCGCUCAAAUCGUUCGAAUCUCGUGGCGGGCGAUAUUACCGUUCCGCACGAAGAUUAGAAAUUGCUUUUCUUUUAACCGUUUCUUUCCGAUUCUUUUUCACGAUUACGUAAUUAUCGUGUCGUUUCUCUACGAUCCGGUUAGUUGGUUGGCUGGUUGGUUGGUUGGUUGGAUUUGAUUGGUUGAUUCGUUUAAAGAAAAAAAGAAGGGUUUACUUCGCAAAGGUGGGUGCCGAGGUUUCUACAUCGAAAGUUAACAGGUGGGGAAGAAAUGGAGGUUGAUGAAAAAUAAGGGAUGAAAA